GUUUAAAACUGUCUAACCCCCAUUUUGUCGAUUCUAAAGAACUACCAGAGCAUAGAAUAGUAAUAAAUCCAGCUUUUCAUCUUGAAAUAUUGUUCUAUCUAUGCUGGAUUAGCCUAGACUUUGGGUUGGCAAAAUCCAAACCCCCAGCUAAUCUGACAUACGCUCAUAUUGAUCGCAUUUUAAUCACUAGGUUAUCCCGAUUAUAAAUGAUCUAUAAAGAUCACACCUAGUCCAUUACUUGAACUUAUUAAUUCAAGCUUGUGAUGCGUACUUAACCCAACAGAGCCGGAUGUAUCUUGAUCUGUGAGCGGAUUGUGAGCAAACUAAUCUUGACCCAAAACGAUCCACCGGGGCCAGAGCCGGAGACAGAGAUGUGCUUGGCUUAUCUGUCCUUCGCGGGAUGCGACGAUACUGAACGAUAAGCACUUUAACAUAAGUUGCAGUUGCACAUAGUUUGGUUAGGAUGUGUUUUCCCCUGGCCACAUAUCGUUGCCAACUAAUGAGGCGCCUACAGUCUCUCCAUACACAUGUUUGCUAUACUGUUGCAACGUUGCUGAGCUCACGUAGGUGCUACUUUAUGACGCCAAUGCCAAUGGCAAUGCCGACGGCGUCGCCGAAGCUGAAUUUGAAUCCGUUCCGAAUGCGUGGAAAAUCCAACGCUCGUUAUUUGACAAACAUGCAGGGAAAGUCCAAAGCCCGAUACUCAACCCAACGCGGCUGCUGGCCUAAGUGCCAGCCUACACAAAUAAGCUUGUACAUUUUUUAUGGCCUCGCCGCGCCCGACAGCCCACCUCCAACUACCUGACCGAUCUCGCCCAGCUCAGUUUCCUGGCAAAGCGCAUUUAUGAAUGAGUCUGUUCGCUAUCUGCUGUGGUAACGCGACUCGUGAAUGAAUCUCACAUGGCGCAUUGUAAUUUUAUGGCAGCGGUAGGCUUAUGUGGGACAAGUAGCACCAUCUCUAAAUAUGAAGCCACAGUUCACAAGAAGCGCGGAUAGAACAGCAAAACUAUCGAUUAAUGACACCAGCACAAUAUAAUAAUUUCAAAAAUACGUUUUUCCACACUUGUAUAUAACAAAGUUCAUUACUCAAAUGAUUACCCACAAUUUCUCUUGCUUAUAUUACUUACAAAAUUGUUCCAUAAAAUAAGAUAUAGUCCUAA
rnacentral:sRNA from 1 species